GUCAGCAGAGGAAUUGUUUGAAGCACUAACACCAAAACCAAGUUGCAUAAUCUCUGACUUCACCCUUCCUUGGACCGCUCAAGUAGCCGAAAAGUAUCAUAUUCCAAGGAUUUCGUUCCACGGAUUUUCUUGCUUCUGCCUCCAUUGUCUGCACCAGGUACACAUUUCAGAGGUUUGUGAAAGCAUCACUUCAGAAUCCGAGUAUUUCAAGAUUCCUGGCAUACCUGACCAAAUUCAAGUUACCAAAGAGCAGAUACCUCUGAUGGUCCCGACAUUAAACGAACAUAAA
rnacentral:lncRNA from 1 species